AUUGAACGCUGGCGGCAGGCCUAACACAUGCAAGUCGAGCGGAUGAAGGGAGCUUGCUCCUGGAUUCAGCGGCGGACGGGUGAGUAAUGCCUAGGAAUCUGCCUGGUAGUGGGGGAUAACGUCCGGAAACGGGCGCUAAUACCGCAUACGUCCUGAGGGAGAAAGUGGGGGACCUUCGGACCUCACGCUAUCAGAUGAGCCUAGGUCGGAUUAGCUAGUUGGUGGGGUAAAGGCCUACCAAGGCGACGAUCCGUAACUGGUCUGAGAGGAUGAUCAGUCACACUGGAACUGAGACACGGUCCAGACUCCUACGGGAGGCAGCAGUGGGGAAUAUUGGACAAUGGGCGAAAGCCUGAUCCAGCCAUGCCGCGUGUGUGAAGAAGGUCUUCGGAUUGUAAAGCACUUUAAGUUGGGAGGAAGGGCAGUAAGUUAAUACCUUGCUGUUUUGACGUUACCAACAGAAUGAGCACCGGCUAACUUCGUG
rnacentral:rRNA from 1 species